UACGGAGGGGACUAGCGUUGUUCGGAAUUACUGGGCGUAAAGCGCACGUAGGCGGAUUUGUAAGUCAGGGGUGAAAUCCCGGGGCUCAACCUCGGAACUGCCUUUGAUACUGCAAAUCUCGAGUCCGGAAGAGGUGAGUGGAAUUCCUAGUGUAGAGGUGAAAUUCGUAGAUAUUAGGAAGAACACCAGUGGCGAAGGCGGCUCACUGGUCCGGUAUUGACGCUGAGGUGCGAAAGCGUGGGGAGCAAACAGG
rnacentral:rRNA from 1 species